rnacentral:rRNA from 1 species
UACUCCUACGGGAGGCAGCAGUGGGGAAUAUUGCACAAUGGGCGCAAGCCUGAUGCAGCCAUGCCGCGUGUGUGAAGAAGGCCUUCGGGUUGUAAAGCACUUUCAGCGAGGAGGAAGGUGGUGAGCYUAAUACGCUCAUCAAUUGACGUUACUCGCAGAAGAAGCACCGGCUAACUCCGUGCCAGCAGCCGCGGUAAUACA